rnacentral:rRNA from 1 species
AACAGGAUUAGAUACCCUGGUAGUCCACACCGUAAACGAUGAGUGCUAGGUGUUUGAGGGUUUCCGCCCUUAAGUGCCGCAGCUAACGCAUUAAGCACUCCGCCUGGGGAGUACGACCGCAAGGUUGAAACUCAAAGGAAUUGACGGGGGCCCGCACAAGCGGUGGAGCAUGUGGUUUAAUUCGAAGCUACGCGAAGAACCUUACCAGGUCUUGACAUCUUCUGCCAAUCUUAGAGAUAAGACGUUCCCUUCGGGGACAGAAUGACAGGUGGUGCAUGGUUGUCGUCAGCUCGUGUCGUGAGAUGUUGGGUUAAGUCCCGCAACGAGCGCAACCCUUAUUAUCAGUUGCCAGCAUUCAGUUGGGCACUCUGGUGAGACUGCCGGUGACAAACCGGAGGAAGGUGGGGAUGACGUCAAAUCAUCAUGCCCCUUAUGACCUGGGCUACACACGUGCUACAAUGGACGGUACAACGAGUUGCGAAGUCGUGAGGCUAAGCUAAUCUCUUAAAGCCGUUCUCAGUUCGGAUUGUAGGCUGCAACUCGCCUACAUGAAGUUGGAAUCGCUAGUAAUCGCGGAUCAGCAUGCCGCGGUGAAUACGUUCCCGGGCCUUGUACACACCGCCCGUCACACCAUGAGAGUUUGUAACACCCAAAGCCGGUGAGAUAACCUUCGGGAGUCGGCCGUCUAAGGUGGGACAGAUGAUUAGGGUGAAGUCGUAACAAGGUAACC